rnacentral:rRNA from 1 species
UACGUAGGGGGCGAGCGUUGUCCGGAAUCAUUGGGCGUAAAGCGCGCGCAGGCGGCCUCUUAAGUCUGGUGUGAAAGCCCACGGCUCAACCGUGGAGGGCCAUUGGAAACUGGGAGGCUUGAGUGCAGGAGAGGAGAGUGGAAUUCCUGGUGUAGCGGUGAAAUGCGUAGAGAUCAGGAGGAACACCGAUGGCGAAGGCAGCUCUCUGGCCUGUAACUGACGCUGAGGCGCGAAAGCGUGGGGAGCAAAC